GACGAACGCUGGCGGCGUGCCUAAUACAUGCAAGUCGAACGCAGUGGGGACGGGUGAGUAACACGUGGGUAACCUCCCAUCAGAGGGGAUAACACUUGGAAACAGGUGCUAAACCGAUACUGAUGGAUGGACCCGCGGGUCAUUAGCUAGUGGGGGAGGUAACGGCGCACCAAGGCCACGAUGCAUCGGCGGCCUGGGGGGGUGAUCAGCCACACUGGAACUGAGACACGGCCCAGACUCCUACGGGAGGCAGCAGUAGGGAAUCUUCGGCAAUGGACGGAAGUCUGACCGAGCAAAGCCGCGUGAGUGAAGAAGGUUUUCGGAUCGUAAAGCUCUGUUGUUAGAGAAGCGGUAUCUAACCAAAAAGCCACGGCUAACUACGUGCCAGCCGCCGCGGUAAUAC
rnacentral:rRNA from 1 species